rnacentral:rRNA from 1 species
CCGGUGAGCUACGGCUCGCCGGGGUUGAGGACUGCAUUUAGUCUCAAUGGUCUAUCCGAACUACCUGGAAAGGUAGGCAAUACAGUGUAAAAGCCACGUAGGUUAAAGACCGGAGAGAUGAGCAGUAUCCAGAGUACCACGAGGCACGAGGAAUCUUGUGGGAAGCCGGGGGGACCACCCUCCAACCCUAAACACUGAAUGGCGACCGAUAGCGCAUAGUACCGUGAGGGAAAGGUGAAAAGAACCCCGGGAGGGGAGUGAAAGAGAACCUGAAACCGUAUGUCUACAAGCAGUCGGAGCGAAAGCGACGGCGUGCCUAUUGAAGAAUGAACCAACGAGUUACGUGCACUAGCGAGGUUAAGUGGAAGACACGGAGCCGAAGCGAAAGCGAGUCUUAAGAGGGCGGAUAGUUAGUGUACGUAGACCCGAAACCGCAGUGAUCUACCCAUGUCCAGGUUGAAGCGCAGGUAAAAUUGCGUGGAGGACCGAACCUGUGAGCGUUGAAAAGCUUUAGGAUGAGAUGUGGGUAGAGGUGAAAUUCCAAUCGAACGCGGAGAUAGCUGGUUCUCCCCGAAAUAGCUUUAGGGCUAGCCUCAAGUAGUAAGUAUAGGCGGUAGAGCACUGAUCGGGCUAGGGGCCAUAAAGGUUACCGAACCCUGUCAAACUCCGAAUGGUUAUACUGUAGAGCUUGGGAGUCAGACUACGAGUGAUAAGAUCCGUGGUCAAAAGGGAAACAGCCCAGACCACCAGCUAAGGUCCCCAAUGUCGUACUAAGUGGAAAAGGAUGUGGGGUCUCUAAAACAACCAGGAUGUUGGCUUAGAAGCAGCCACCAUUUAAAGAGUGCGUAAUAGCUCACUGGUCGAGAGACCCUGCGCCGAAGAUUACCGGGGCUAAAGUACGAAACCGAAGCUGUGGCUACGACAUAUGUCGUGGGGUAGGGGAGCGUUCUGUGAGGGCUGAAGUCGUUCUGUAAGGAACGGUGGACUUCACAGAAGUGAGAAUGUUGGUAUGAGUAGCGAAAAGAAUGGUGAGAAUCCAUUCCACCGAAAGCAUAAGGAUUCCUGGGCAACGAUCGUCGUCCCAGGGUAAGUCGGGACCUAAUCCGAGGCAUGGAGCGUAGGAGAUGGACAACUGGCAGAUAUUCCAGUACCGGUAAUGAUUGUUUGAGCGAUGGAGUGACACAGGAGGGCAGGCAGGCAGGAGAUUGGUUGUUCCUGUACAAGCGUGUAGGAUGGGACGCAGGCAAAUCCGCGUCCUGUGAGUCUGAGGCGUGAUGUGGAGGUUCCGGAAACGGAACUGAAGCUGCCGACCCCACACUGUCGAGAAAAGCUUCUAGUUAGAGAAUUACCGCCCGUACCGUAAACCGACACAGGUAUGCGGGGAGAGAAUCCUAAGGUGCGCGGGAGAACCCUCGUUAAGGAACUCGGCAAAAUGUACCCGUAACUUCGGGAUAAGGGUAGCCGCUGUUGUGAAGUCUGAACAGACGGAGCAUGAGGCGGUCGCAGAGAAGAGGCCCAAGCGACUGUUUACCACAAACACAGGUGCCUGCUAAAGAGAAAUCUGACGUAUAGGUGCUGACACCUGCCCAGUGCCGGAAGGUUAAGGAAGGAUGUCCGGAGCAAUCCAAAGCAUUCGACCGAAGCCCCGGUGAACGGCGGCCGUAACUAUAACGGUCCUAAGGUAGCGAAAUUCCUUGUCGGGUAAGUUCCGACCCGCACGAAAGGUGUAACGAUUUGGGCACUGUCUCAACGAGGGACCCGGUGAAAUUGAAGUACCUGUGAAGAUGCAGGUUACCCGCGACUGGACAGAAAGACCCCAUGGAGCUUUACUGUAACCUGACAUUGGGUUCUGAUACAUCACGUACAGGAUAGGUGGGAGGCAUGGAAGCGAGGACGCUAGUCUUCGUGGAGCCGCCGUUGGGAUACCACCCUUGAUGUAUCGGAAUUCUAACCGUAGGAGUAACGAAACUCGGGACAGUGUCAGGCGGGCAGUUUGACUGGGGCGGUCGCCUCCCAAAGAGUAACGGAGGCGCCCAAAGGUUCCCUCAGCGCGGCCGGAAAUCGCGCGAAGAGUGUAAAGGCAGAAGGGAGCUUGACUGAGAGCCAAACACGGCAAUCAGGUACGAAAGUAGGGCUUAGUGAUCCGGUGGCAUCCAAGUGGAAGGGCCAUCGCUCAACGGAUAAAAGCUACCCUGG